AGAAGCUGACGGAAGGUGAGCUGCAUGAUGGCAUGCUGAUCGCCGAUCAGAAGGUACUACACUGAAAUACUCCACCCCGGUCAGAGUAACUCUUCUGCACUGGAGCUUUGUAGAUAGAAGUUGUUUUAGUUUGAGAUGGCGUCGUCACCCUCAGGUUCGAGUUUAAUGCAGAAGAAGCGUUACAGGAACUUGUCAUUAAUGUCUCACUGUGACCCGAAAGCUGCUUGUUGGAUGUUUAAUGUAAGAUUAGAAAGUUCAGCUGGUUUAUCUCCUCUCAGGUGUGUGUAAAACAGAACCUGGCUGUGUCCUUGCAGCGUGUGAUUUCUAUUUCGUCUGUGUUUUCAGAAGGAGGUGGAAGAGAGGUGGUGGUGGUGUUGUUGUUGUUGUUGUUGUUGUUGUUGUAGUCAUUGUUGCUUUUGUUAAAUAAAUGGAUUCUUUAAAUAACCAACACCUGCCUGACUGUACGAGUUAUUUACAUGAACCAGCCGCAGGAACGUCUUGCUAUAAGGGAUGUGAACGUGAUAAUAUCUUUUUGUACACAGCGUAAUGGAACUGAGGCAUCAGGAAUCCCAAAUAGAGCAAACAAUGGGCAAGGUUUUAAAUCUACUCUGAGAACAGUGGACAUGAUGGUAAAGAAACCAGUCCAAAAACCAUGGAGAUCAGGGCAAAAGAAAAACAUAUGGCCAAGAUAACAGGGAGAGCCAUGGCAUUUAUCAGACUUGUCCUCUACUUCUGGAUAUAUUACAGAAAGUCUCGACUUAGACAAAUGGACUCUGUGUAAAACUUUGAACUGGAUGAGUCCAAGACGAGCACAGGAAGUGGUAGACUGUACCCUACCUAUAGCACGUUCCCAACACUCUUAAUUCAUCUGUACUCCUAACUCCAUUUCCCACACAUUCUUAAUUUUGGUACUCACCUCACUACCUAACACCAGAAUUAAAUCAUAAAUCU
ensembl:lncRNA